UGCUCCCUACGGGGCGCAGCAGUGGGGAAUAUUGCGCAAUGGGCGAAAGCCUGACGCAGCGACGCCGCGUGAGCGAUGAAGUAUUUCGGUAUGUAAAGCUCUAUCAGCAGGGAAGAAAAUGACGGUACCUGACUAAGAAGCCCCGGCUAACUACGUGCCAGCAGCCGCGGUAAUACGUAGGGGGCAAGCGUUAUCCGGAUUUACUGGGUGUAAAGGGAGCGUAGACGGUCCUGCAAGCCAGAUGUGAAAGCCCGGGGCUCAACCCCGGGACUGCAUUUGGAACUGUAAGGCUAGAGUGUCGGAGC
rnacentral:rRNA from 1 species